UGCCUCCAUCAUAUAAGGGCUAUUAUGCCUGUUUUGUAAUCAGGUCAUCGCGGUUCGAAUCCGUGUGGGGGCACCAA
rnacentral:tRNA from 1 species